CACCAAGAGCCACACUUGCAGCCCUCAGCUCCCCCUCUGAGGGCAAAUGAAUCUGUGGGGUUUGUAAAGAAGAAAGAAAAAUUAAAUACAGGCUUAACCCGCUUCAGAAAGGGACAGUCACUUCAAUCAAGGACAGACUUUGCUCAUUUGCUUCCAGAUGCUCCAUCCUGUUGCACAAGGUAAUGUGACAUGAUUUCAUUACAUUGGUCUCAUACUCAACACAGCUUUAAACUGUACAGAAGCAACCAGUCAGACACAAAAUACAGUCAAAUGGAUCUACUUGUUCUUCACAUAACUCCUUCGGGUAAUUGUGCAAGCCAGUGUGCUCUAUCUGUAGGACUAGGCACCAUGACACAAAGGACUUCAAAGAGUGAUUCUAGCAAGUAAAAGGUUUCAAUAUAGGAGGUAGCUUGUCUUACAGGACAGCCAGAGAAAGGAGAUAAGCACUACAACAAAAAUGGAUUCAGUUGCAGAAAAUUACCCCAAAUGACACACUUGAGAUGAGCUUCAUUGUGAGCUUAACUUGAAGUUUAUGGAAGGGAAAUUCUUCAGCCAUGCUGUAUUGAAGAGCAGAAAAAAUGACCUCAGAUGAUCACUACUACUUUCUAAAGAAAAAAAAAAAUCUAUUUUUCUAAUAUAAUCUGAGGAGCACUUAGUUAUACAUAAGAUGUAGUGGUUGAUACUGUCACAAAAGACUUCCCGCAUUUUGGUAGAUAUAAUGGGUUGGAUUGUCACAUUUCCAGUCAAGCCAAACAGCAUCAAACCAUUCCCUGGGAAAAGUUCAAAUGCAAAUGGUCAUAAUCUGUCAGCUAUGACUCAUUGCAUCAAGUCCAGUGACUAAGAAGGUCAAGAACAAUUAAUUCAGAAAUGAAGGUACCAGAGCUUUCAGUUCUGCUGCUGCACUUCAGGACCAUGCCUGGAAUAAAACUUGAGAACUCAUUUCACAGUUGUGUCUUCCUGAGCUUGGGGAUCAUCAUUGUUUCUCAAAAUGUGAACCAAGCACCCUGAGGUGAGCUACAGAGGACAGUAGCUGCCUGCCAGCUGCUCACAAGGACUUUUAUUUUGCCUUCCCUCUUCCUUUGACCAGAAUUUCCAUGAUUGGUCAUGGAAACCUUCCUGCAAUUCUGCCAAGGCAAGCUGCCCAUAGAUGAAGACCUUAGCGCUAUCCAAUUUCCCAGCUGAGAAUUUUCCCACCUGGCAUAUGCAGCAAAGGAAUGGUUACUCAGGCUUUUCGUUACCAGCACACCACCUGACUUCACAGCAGUUAAAGCAGGGGAUUUAACAAACUGACAUUUGUUGAUUUGAAGUGUGUUUUGUCAGAAAACUCCUCCCUGGCCCGCUGGCAGAGCUGGGCCGCCGGGAGCCGCACAAGCAUUCUCAGCCUUGCGGCCGAGGGGCUGCAGUGCCCUGCCUCGGGGUGUGUGAGGGGUGGGAGCCGCGUUUCAGGGCCGCUCAAUCCCGCUGCUCGGGGGUCAUCACUGCCGCCCAACUCCCCCACCCUUCAAAUAAUCCAGUUCCUCAGAAUUCUGCGUUUUACUCAGGAAUUUGCAUUUUGGUGGCAGCACCCCGGGGCGGGAUGCAGCGGGCUCUGGGCACAGGCGGAGGCCCCGGUGCAGACAUGGCGCGGGCCGUCACUGAGGGGAAGCGCCACGAGAUGGCGCCAUGGUGCCUCGGCCCCCGCCGAGGGGGGCGGGUGAAGGACAACGAAAUGCAAGAGGGUGGAAAUCCUGAUGAAACCCAGUGCCAAACCAGCUGGACAACUCCAGCCCAACACUCUGGCAAAACAUGCUCUUCCAGGAGGCUUUUCAGUUUCUGGAGGCCUGAGAAGGAUGGGGAGCCUCCUCUCCAUCAAACCCCAGCAUUUAGUGAAGAGUAGUAGUCCUGAGCCAUUGAACAUGCAUAAGCCGAGAAGAAAGAUGUGGCACCAAAACAGACCAAGAAAUCACACCUGCUGACAUGAACCUGCUCCAAAUGGCUUUCUCUUCCUCCAUGUGUCCCGUUGUCUUCAUCAACUCUGAGGAAUGAUUUUCCAUGAAGCUGUAGGGAUCUCUGCUGGGCAGAACAAUCUGUUUUGUGAACUGAUUAUUUUUUCCCCAUUACAGAGCACUGAAAAACUCAUAGGGCCUGCUUAGUGUUGGAUCUUCUGAGCUCUGCAGCUUCCCUUAUAAACAGAUCUUAAGUCUAUUGAAUUACAAUGGCAUGAAAGGCUUUGAGACAAAAGAUGGAGUGGAAAAUGUGAUAGCUGUUCUG